UUACCAGCUAGAAAGACAUCUAAUUUGGUCUUAAAUUGGAUUAAGGAGGAUCGCUUUAAUGUAAAUAUAAGAUCUUUAGCAUCUGUGCUUUCACCCCUAUAAGCUUCCCACCGAUCAUGCAUAGUCACUAUCUGCAUCAAUAAUAUCGAAACAUUCAACUAUAUUUAUUGUAUUCAUUGACCCAUUGGAGUAUGUGAACUUUAAUGGAUUACCCAAUUGAGCUAUAUUAGCAAAACAUAUUCCAAAUUAAUAAUGGGCAAUGAUUAUUAAAUAAGUAAUUAGUUUGAUAAUAAACAGACUUAUAAAUUUUGACAGUAAAGUUAAUAUAUUAUACAUUAUAAUUAUUCUAUGUAUUUUUCACUUAAAUAAUUUUUUUAUUUUCAAUAUUGAUAAAUAUCAAAUACCUAAACAAUUAUUUAACCAGUCAUCUAUGAUAGGAUUUCACAUCAUAUUAUUGAUAAUAAUUAUUUAAUAAAUAAAAAAAAGGAAGAAAAUAAGAGAGAAAGAAAGUAGAAUUACCUUCCGGCGUAGGGUGACGAUGGGGUAACCGGCGGCAUCAACCAAGACACGGCGAUCACGGAGGGUUAAAAGAGAACCUUUAACUUUGAAAACAAUGUUGCCGUUAACAUCAGUGACGGUGAAGUUUCCGUCUGAAAUGG
rnacentral:lncRNA from 1 species